UUAUAGUAGAGUUUGAUCCUAGCUCAGGAUGAACGCUGGCGGCGUGGAUAAGGCAUGCAAGUCGAACGGACUUUAUUUUUCCAGAGAAUGAGAUUACAUCAAGUUCAAAGGUCGUUUAAAGUUAGUGGCGAACGAGGUAGUAAUACACAGGAAUGUACCCCUGAGUCGCGAACAACACAUCGAAAGGUGUGCUAAUACGCGAUAGUCUCUCAGGAGUAAAGUUUUUCGCUUAGGGAACAGCCUGUGAAGUAUCAGCUAGUUGGCAGUGUAAUGGACUACCAAGGCUAUGACGCUUAGGGGAGGUGAGAGCCUGACCCCCACCGAUGGGACUGAGACACGGCCCAUACACC
rnacentral:rRNA from 1 species